rnacentral:rRNA from 1 species
UACGGAGGGGGCUAGCGUUGUUCGGAAUUACUGGGCGUAAAGCGCACGUAGGCGGCUUUGUAAGUUAGAGGUGAAAGCCCGGGGCUCAACUCCGGAAUUGCCUUUAAGACUGCAUCGCUAGAAUUGUGGAGAGGUAAGUGGAAUUCCGAGUGUAGAGGUGAAAUUCGUAGAUAUCGGGAGGAACACCGGUGGCGAAGGCGGCGACCUGGGUCGAUACUGACGCUGAGGUGCGAAAGCGUGGGGAGCAAACAGG